rnacentral:ncRNA from 1 species
CAAAGGCCUGGUCCUGACUUUACUAUCAGCUUUAGCCCAACUUAUACAUGCAAGUAUCCGCACCCCUGUGAGAAUGCCCUCAAUCCCCCGCCCGGGGACGAGGAGCUGGCAUCAGGCGCAACAUACCCCGCCCAAGACGCCUUGCUUACGCCACACCCCCAAGGGAAUUCAGCAGUAAUAAACAUUAAGCCAUAAGUGAAAACUUGACUUAGCAAGGGCUAAGAGGGUCGGUAAAACUCGUGCCAGCCACCGCGGUUAUACGAGAGACUCCAGUUGAUAGCUACGGCGUAAAGAGUGGUUUGGGGCCCCACCCAAAAUAAAGCCAAAGACCUCCCAAGCCGUCAAACGCACCCCGGAGGCACGAAGUCCUAACGCGAAAGCAACUUUACCUCCCCCGACGCCACGAAAGCUAAGAAACAAACUGGGAUUAGAUACCCCACUAUGCUUAGCCCUAAACUCAGAUGUGAGAACAUACAAAUACAUCCGCCAGGGUACUACAAGCGCUAGCUUAAAACCCAAAGGACUUGACGGUGUCUCAGACCCACCUAGAGGAGCCUGUUCUAGAACCGAUAAUCCCCGUUAAACCUCACCAUCCCUUGUCUUUUCCCGCCUAUAUACCGCCGUCGCAAGCUUACCCUGUGAAGGGUUUACAGUAAGCAAAAUGGGCCAACCCCAGAACGUCAGGUCGAGGUGUAGCUCACGAGAUGGAAAGAAAUGGGCUACAUUUUCUAUUUCAGAAUAUUCACGAACGGUACCAUGAAACCUAGUACCCGAAGGUGGAUUUAGCAGUAAAAAACAAACAGAGCGUGUUUUUGAACCAGGCUCUGAGACGCGCACACACCGCCCGUCACUCUCCCCUUAUCUUUUAUACACAAGUAAAUUAACCAAAUCAACACUUCAGCGGGGAGGCAAGUCGUAACAUGGUAAGUGUACCGGAAGGUGUACUUGGAACAC